AUAAACAAUAUGGAAUGAGAAGCCUGGAGCUCGGAGGUUCCAGGGGAGACACAGAUGCCUGGAUGGGACGAAGCAAGGAAAUGUUCGGCUGCCCUUGGAAGGGUUUGAUGUCAUCACACCAGGAGCUGGGAUGCUGGAUUGAUGGAGAGGGGCUGGGCUGAGGACCCCUGUGUAGGGAUUUGGCAAGCAAUGGCUUUUAUUCAUUCACUGUGUGACAGGCACUUCAUUAAGACAUAAGAGAAAGAGUCCAUAAAAUAUUAAGGGG
ensembl:lncRNA